rnacentral:rRNA from 1 species
AAUGGGGGCAACCCUGACGCAGCCAUGCCGCGUGUGUGAAGAAGGCCUUCGGGUUGUAAAGCACUUUAAGUGGGGAAGAAAAGCGUAGCGUUAAUAGCGUUGCGCCGUGACAUUACCCACAGAAUAAGCACCGGCUAACUCCGUGCCAGCAGCCGCGGUAAUACGGAGGGUGCGAGCGUUAAUCGGAAUUACUGGGCGUAAAGCGCGCGUAGGCGGUUUGUUAAGUCAGCUGUGAAAGCCCCGGGCUCAACCUGGGAACUGCAGUUGAUACUGGCCGACUAGAGUACGAGAGAGGGAGGUAGAAUUCCAUGUGUAGCGGUGAAAUGCGUAGAUAUAUGGAGGAAUACCGGUGGCGAAGGCGGCCUCCUGGCUCGAUACUGACGCUGAGGUGCGAAAGCGUGGGGAUCAAA